rnacentral:rRNA from 1 species
CCUACGGGAGGCUGCAGUGAGGAAUAUUGGUCAAUGGACGAGAGUCUGAACCAGCCAAGUAGCGUGAAGGAUGACUGCCCUAUGGGUUGUAAACUUCUUUUAUAUGGGAAUAAAAUGUUCCACGUGUGGGAUUUUGUAUGUACCAUAUGAAUAAGGAUCGGCUAACUCCGUGCCAGCAGCCGCGGUAAUACGGAGGAUCCGAGCGUUAUCCGGAUUUAUUGGGUUUAAAGGGAGCGUAGGUGGAUUGUUAAGUCAGUUGUGAAAGUUUGCGGCUCAACCGUAAAAUUGCAGUUGAAACUGGAAGUCUUGAGUACAGUAGAGGUGGGUGGAAUUCGUGGUGUAGCGGUGAAAUGCGUAGAUAUCACGAAGAACUCCGAUUGCGAAGGCAGCUCACUGGACUGCAACUGACACUGAGGCUCGAAAGUGUGGGUAUCAAACAGGAUUAGAUACCCGGGUAGUC